rnacentral:tRNA from 1 species
GGGCGAUUAGCUCAGUUGGUUAGAGCACUUCCUUUACACGGAAGGGGUCGUAGGUUCGAACCCUACAUCGCCCACCA